rnacentral:tRNA from 1 species
CAGAAAAUAGUUUAAAAAAAAUAUAAGCUUUGGAAGUUUAAGAUAGAAUAAUCUUUUUCUGA